GAUCGUCAAUUUGGAAGCUCUAUC
rnacentral:miRNA from 1 species